rnacentral:rRNA from 1 species
GACGAACGCUGGCGGCGUGCCUAAUACAUGCAAGUCGAACGCUUCUUUCCUCCCGAGUGCUUGCACUCAAUUGGAAAGAGGAGUGGCGGACGGGUGAGUAACACGUGGGUAACCUACCCAUCAGAGGGGGAUAACACUUGGAAACAGGUGCUAAUACCGCAUAACAGUUUAUGCCGCAUGGCAUAAGAGUGAAAGGCGCUUUCGGGUGUCGCUGAUGGAUGGACCCGCGGUGCAUUAGCUAGUUGGUGAGGUAACGGCUCACCAAGGCCACGAUGCAUAGCGGCCCGGAGAGGGUGAGCGGCCACACUGGGAGGGAGACAGGGCCAAGACCCAUGCGGGAGGCAGCAGUGGGGAAUCGUGGACAAGGGGCGAAAGUCGGACGAAGCAAGGCCGAGUGGGUGAAGAAGGUUUUGGGAUCGUAAAGCUCUGUUGUGAGGGAGGAAAAGAGGGUUGAGAACAUGAACGCCCCUUGACGGUAUCUAACGAAAAAGCAACGGCUAACUACGUG